UUUUAAGAUAACAACUUAGAAGAAAGCCAGGUAUGCCCAAGGUCUCUGGUGAAUAAGGAAUACUUGUUUCCUUUGUCUUCCUGAGGCUGACUACAUGU
ensembl:snoRNA Gm25697 small nucleolar RNA SNORA67